GCCGGGCGCGGUGGCGCGUGCCUGUAGUCCCAGCUACCGGGGAGGCUGAGGUUGGAGGAUCGCUUGAGUCCAGGAGUUCUGGGCUGCUGUGCGCUAUGCCGAUCGGGUGUCCGCACUAAGUUCGGCAUCAAUAUGGUGACCUCCCGGGAGCGGGGGACCACCAGGUUGCCUAAGGAGGGGUGAACCGGCCCAGGUCGGAAACGGAGCAGGUCAAAACUCCCGUGCUGAUCAGUAGUGGGAUCGCGCCUGUGAAUAGCCACUGUACUCCAGCCUGGGCAACAUAGCGAGACCCUGUCUCU
rnacentral:SRP_RNA from 1 species